AUUUCUCUCUUCCAGAUGAAUUUGCAGUUGCAGAAUACAACACACCAUGCAAACAGAUAUCUUUUGAAACCUUUUAGUUCUCAGAGAAGUGAACUGUGAUGGAAAGGAAGACACCUUGGAAUUGGGAUUUAUGUUAAGAGAACAUUUCCACUGUUUCAACCAAAGAAAAGUUUCAGAAUGUGAAACUUGAACAGUGCAGCACUUGUUCAAGUUCUCCCACCCACAGCAUUCUCCUUCAGUCACUCCACCACCAAUUUCAUUCUUUCUGCUUGAGGACUUUUUCCUGAAGUCCUGGUAGCCAGCUUAGCCUGUGUACAAUUUAAAAUGGGAAGCACAGGCUUAAUGUUUCCAAGAGCAAACUUCAACUAGCAGAGAUUAACCACUGGACAAAUGCUCCUGCUUUUACUCAGGGAACUCCGGGGUCAUUCCACAUGCUUCUGGUAAAAUCACCUUGAAACCAGUGUAAGAUCAGGCAAGGCAGCGACCAAAGGAGGCAAAUUUAAAAAGACCUCCGAAUGAGGCUUUAUUUGAGAUAUCAUUCCUGGGCGGAACUUGAUCAGACCGACAGAAACUGGAGAAGGGUCUGAGGAGAAACCGCUCGACCGGAUUUGGAUUUUAUGGGGCUUAGGCAGAAAGGGAGGGGCUUGAAACAGGAAAAGGUGUUUUUAGAGUCCCUAGGCCCGCUGGAGUUGGUUGAGGGAGAUGGCUGAACUCCAGGAUUGGCCAGUGAGUCCUGAUGAUUGACAGGCGUCAGUCAGGAGAUCCCGCUGAUUGAUAGGCUUUCUGUGGGUGCCUGAUAGAUGUUUUUUCCUGAGUGGGCUGCUUUGUUCUAAGUCACCGCCACUGACCUGACAAUCAGCAUUUCAUUUUCUCAUGAAUUGGCCUCUGUAGAUACAGUUUCUUAAAUUAGCUCUUUUGCUUUCUUACACAAUCUCCUGAUCUCUCACUGUUGUUUCCUGGGAUCACCUCUGAAAUGAAUUAUCUGCACUCCAGUCCUUGCUUCAGAUUCUGCUUUCAGAACAAAGAAAAUGUACCACAGCAAUCACUGAAUAACUACGUAAAAUGUUUUGUUAGGUAUGAAAUAUCUGUGUUGUUAAUUUAGAUCUAGUGUUUGUUUAUACCGUAGAAAAGUAGAACUUUUAUAACAUUUCAAUAUAAAUAUUGCUAUUUUGACAAUUAUUAUUGAG
rnacentral:lncRNA from 1 species